rnacentral:rRNA from 1 species
AUUGAACGCUGGCGGCACGCUUAACACAUGCAAGUCGAGCGGUAACAUGAUCUGUAGCAAUACAGAUUGAUGACGAGCGGCGGACGGGUGAGUAACACGUAGGAACCUGCCCAAAAGCGGGGGAUAACCAAGGGAAACUUUGGUUAAUACCGCGUAAUCUCGAGAGAGGAAAGCUGCCCGCAAGGGUGAUGCUUUUGGAGGGGCCUGCGCCCGAUUAGCUAGUUGGUGAGGUAAUAGCUCACCAAGGCGAUGAUCGGUAACUGGUCUGAGAGGACGACCAGUCACACUGGGACUGAGACACGGCCCAGACUCCUACGGGAGGCAGCAGUGGGGAAUCUUGGACAAUGGGGGCAACCCUGAUCCAGCGAUGCCGCGUGGGUGAAGAAGGCCUUCGGGUUGUAAAGCCCUUUAGGUCGGGAAGAAGUGUGUAGGCUGAAUAAUCCUAUACAUUGACGGUACCGACAGAAUAAGCACCGGCAAACUCUGUGCCAGCAGCCGCAGUAA